GACGAACGCUGGCGGCGUGCUUAACACAUGCAAGUCGAACGGAAAGGCCUGCUUUUUCUUGUGGAUUGCGGGUACUCGAGUGGCGAACGGGUGAGUAACACGUGUGUCAUUUGCCCUCAACUUGGGUAUAAGCCCGGGAAAUUGGGCCUAAUUAUCGAUAGGACUGCAGGGUGGUGUCGGUGGUGGCAAACGUUCUUCUAGUGGUUGGUGAUGACCCCGCGGGUUAUCAGCUUGGUGGUGAGGUAACGGCCUACCAAGGCGGCGACGGGUAGCCGAACUGGGAGGGUGGUCGGCCACAGUGGAACUGAGACACGGGCCAGGCGCCGACGGGAGGCAGCAGUAGGGAAUCGGGCGGAAUGGGCGAAAGCCUGACGGAGCAACGGCGCGGGAGGGAAGAAGGUCUUGGGAGCGUAAAACGCUGUUAUUAGGGAAGAACAAAAGUGUAAGUAACUAGGCACGUCUUGACGGUACCUAAUCAGAAAGCCACGGCUAACUACGUG
rnacentral:rRNA from 1 species